rnacentral:tRNA from 1 species
GGCCCCAUAGUCCAGUGGUCAGGACGCGGGCCUUUCAAGCCUGAGGCACGGGUUCAAUUCCCGUUGGGGCUA